GGGCCAUCUGCAUAAAAACGGUUGCCUCAUCAGUUGUAACUGUGCUUCUGUUGCGUUUGUGUGUGCAUUAUCUUCAAUAAACAGAUACACAGAAAAUAAGAAACCUGUGGAGAAAUUACAAAAUCUUCCGCUAGGAGAGCCGCAGAAAAUUUUCUCAGCCCGAACCGUGCAGACGAAAUUUGGAAAGACAGUACUGCUCGAGUUGGAGAAGCAUAUAACGUUCCUAGUGCAGAGAGUUACAAAGACCUUCGAGGGAUUCAUGAAUCAUUUCGAAAAAGAAAAGUAAGCCAUCGUGCUCAGAGGGCUGAUCAAUACGGGGAAAGCCAAUCCUGCAAAUAUCUUUCGAAAUUGUAGAAAACUGAGAUAGUUAUAUACCCUCCGCCCCUCAGUACAACAGAAACAUUUUUCAUCAAGCUUUCCUUUGAGAAUCAUCUCCGUUCAUCGCUUCACCACAUUUGACCACGGUUCGAGCUUUUCCAGCCCAUCUACCGAGUAGUAUUUCAAGCUUCCUUUUGCAGCGUUAAGUAAGCAUUCAUUUGUGUAUUCGUAGCAGGAAAAACUUUUUUUUUUUGAAUAUGCUCGAUAGACGUAUUAUUCUGAAAAUUUCCAACAGCGGUAGAAGUCCACCAACUUUGCAAGAAUUGGCUGAGAACGAAAUUUUUAGGACUGUUGGAGAUAUUUAUAGAUUUCGUGCUAAUGAAAAAGUAGGAAUUGAAAUUCGGUAUUGUAAAAAUAUGCUAAGUUUAUUGUUAUUUCAAUAUACCAAAAGAAUUUAAAGAAAUACUCAAUGUAAAUUGUAUCAGAAAAUUGAAGAAACAAAUGAGAAAAAAUCACCAUUUUACCGAUCCUGGUUGGUAAAAUUUUGGUACACAUACAUUUUUUUGAGUAUUUCAGUUUUUGCAUAAUAUUUAUUAUUGUACAUGCACAACUUUGCAUUUCCACCAUUACUUCUACAAUUGACAGAAAAAGUAAUUCAAAAUUAUGUCAAACAUAAUAUAUUAGAAUGAAAUUUCUCAAGCGUUAUCAAUAUGCGAUAAUCUACAACCAGAAAACACCAUUUUUUACUGUAUUUCAAUAAUCCAUUAUAUGUAGUUUUUUAUUGUAUCAUUUUUAUAAUUCAAAUAUAUGUAGUUUUUUAUUGUAUCAUUUUCAUAAUUCAAAUAUGUAUAGUUUUUUAAUGUUGUAUUUUAAGGAGGGUAUUUUGAAUAAAUAAUAAAAAAAAACAAAAUCAU